UUACAUUAUUUUCUGUGAUUUUAUUAAAUCAUUGAGUUACAUUAUUUUCUUUCUUCAUUUCAUGUGUACUGUGAUAUUAUUCCUCAUUAAAUCACAUUUAGUUGUUAAUUUUGUAUUUUGAAAUGCAUUCUUUUAGUUACUUUCUUUUCGAUGAAUAUGUUGGUUUUAGGGGUUAUCUAGAGUAAAUUUGUUGGUUUUAGCUUGAAAGGAAUGUGACAUGCACGAUUUCCUUUUCAAAAAUUUCAAGGAACUCUUGAAAGACUAAAUGCAUCAAUGACCAAUCUGUAUCAAAUUGAAGUGGUGGACAAUGGGGUUCCCCUCCCCCCCAAAUCCCCCCUAUUUGAUUUUUUUUUUUAACCAGUUCUUCACUGAUUCAGCCAAUGAUUUAAAAAGCGGAUUGGUGACCCGGAUCGGCACCUCAAAAACCGAUCCGGAUCGGGAAUCGGCUGAAUUGAUCGGAUUAAAGCUUCAAAAAAAUCCAAAAAAAUUAUUAAAAUUCAUUAUAAAUGUUGUUUUUCAGAAAUCCAAUAAGAAAUGAGGGUACUACAUUAUUAACUUUCAAUUUUUUCAUCAAUUUUUUAAUAUUGAGAUGCUCUUUCCCUGUAUAAACUUAAGUAUUAAAUUUGCAUCACAUAAAAAAAAAUCAUAGCAUUAUCAUGGAUAAAAUAUAUAAUUAUACGUGGACUAAUAAAGAAUAGACUAAAUCAAUGAAAGAAUGGCCAUUAAAAUCUCGUUUUGGCGAAAAACCCUAAUCCGCUAAAAAUACCCAAAUUAUUACAACCUAACUAACUAUAAUCCAAAAUUAUUACAACCUAACUAACUAUAAUCCAAAAUUAUUACAACCUAACUAACUAUAAUCCAAAAUUAUUAUAACCUAACUAAUUAUAAUAUUAUAUACUGAAAUUAUAAUUAUUAGUUUACAUUUUAUAAUUAUUUUAUUAGAUAAAUAAUAACAAAUUAAAAAUAUUUUAUAAUAUUAUCUAAUUUAAAAUGUAUUAUUGACAACUAUAAGAAAAAUAGUACAUUACAUGAUUUAUAAUGUAAAAAUUAAUAAAUAAAAUAAAAGAUUUGGUUAUCAAUGUAAAAAUUAAUAAAAUGCGUACAAAUUUUGGAAAAAACACUUUAAUUUAUUAUAUGCCCAAGGGGGAACAAAAAUUAGCUCAAGAAAAGAUAACUCUUAUAUGGUCCGAGAGGGGAUUCGAACUUGAGAUGUCAAAACAAAUAACAUUAGUGAUAACUAUCAUGCCUCCUUAACAUAUGUGUUUAAAAUUGCCUAUUAAUAACAUAUAUUUACAUUAUAUUUUCAUUUAAUGAUGUUUGGGAAUUAUCCAACAUCAAAGGAUGAGUAUUCAAAUAUGCUAUAUAAAUAACUAUGUAAUUGGAAGAUUAAUGCAAGUGUGAAAACACUAGGGCUUCAGUGCACAUGGCACACGUGCAUGUGUGU
rnacentral:lncRNA from 1 species